rnacentral:lncRNA from 1 species
GGGUUAGGGUUAGGGUUGGAGUUAGGGUUAGUGUUGGAGCUAGGGUUAGGGUUGGGCUUGGAGCUAGGAUUUUUCUGAGUGCAAUGAACCAACUCCCGAGUCUCUAGGACGUUCCUAAAAAAAUUUGAUUUUUUCCCAUAGGAAUGCAUGGGUUAGGGUUAGGGUUAGGGUUGGAGCUAGGGUUAGCGUUAUGGUUAGGGUUGGAGUUAGGGUUAGUGUUGGAGCUAGGGUUAGAGUUAGGGUUAGUGUUGGAGCUAGGGUUAGGGUUAGGGUUAGGGUUGGAGUUAGGGUUAGUGUUGGAGCUAGGGUUAGGGUUGGGCUUGGAGCUAGGAUUUUUCUGAGUGCAAUGAACCAACUCCCAAGUCUCUAGGACGUUCCUAAAAAAAUUUGAUUUUUUCCCAUAGGAAUGCAUGGGUUAGGGUUAGGGUUAGGGUUGGAGCUAGGGUUAGGGUUAGGGUUGGAGUUAGGGUUAGUGUUGGAGCUAGGGUUAGGGUUAGGGUUGGAGUUAGGGUUAGUGUUGGAGCUAGGGUUAGGGUUGGGCUUGGAGCUAGGAUUUUUCUGAGUGCAAUGAACCAACUCCCGAGUCUCUAGGACGUUCCUAAAAAAAUUUGAUUUUUUCCCAUAGGAAUGCAUGGGUUAGGGUUAGGGUUAGGGUUGGAGCUAGGGUUAGGGUUAGGGUUAGGGUUGGAGUUAGGGUUAGUGUUGGAGCUAGGGUUAGGCUUGGAGCUAGGAUUUUUCUGAGUGCAAUGAACCAACUCCCGAGUCUCUAGGACGUUCCUAAAAAAAAUUUGAUUUUUUCCCAUAGGAAUGCAUGGGUUAGGGUUAGGGUUAGGGUUGGAGCUAGGGUUAGGGUUAGGGUUAGGGUUGGAGUUAGGGUUAGUGUUGGAGCUAGGGUUAGGGUUGGGCUUGGAGCUAGGAUUUUUCUGAGUGCAAUGAACCAACUCCCGAGUCUCUAGGACGUUCCUAAAAAAAAUUGAUUUUUUCCCAUAGGAAUGCAUGGGUUAGGGUUAGGGUUAGGGUUGGAGCUAGGGUUAGGGUUGGAGUGAGGGUUAGUGUUGGAGCUAGGGUUAGGGUUGGGCUUGGAGCUAGGAUUUUUCUGAGUGCAAUGAACCAACUCCCGAGUCUCUAGGACGUUCCUAAAAAAAUUUGAUUUUUUCCCAUAGGAAUGCAUGGGUUAGGGUUAGGGUUAGGGUUGGAGCUAGGGUUAGGGUUAGGGUUAGGGUUGGAGUUAGGGUUAGUGUUGGAGCUAGGGUUAGGGUUGGGCUUGGAGCUAGGAUUUUUCUGAGUGCAAUGAACCAACUCCCGAGUCUCUUGGACGUUCCUAAAAAAAUUAGAUUUUUUCCCAUAGGAAUGCAUGGGUUAGGGUUAGGGUUAGGGUUGGAGCUAGGGUUAGGGUUAGGGUUUGGGUUGGAGUUAGGGUUAGUGUUGGAGCUAGGGUUAGGGUUGGGCUUGGAGCUAGGAUUUUUCUGAGUGCAAUGAACCAACUCCCGAGUCUCUAGGACGUUCCUAAAAAAAUUUGAUUUUUUCCCAUAGGAAUGCAUGGGUUAGGGUUAGGGUUAGGGUUGGAGCUAGGGUUAGGGUUAGGGUUGGAGUUAGGGUUAGUGUUGGAGCUAGGGUUAGGGUUGGGCUUGGAGCUAGGAUUUUUCUGAGUGCAAUGAACCAACUCCAGAGUCUCUAGGACGUUCCUAAAAAAAAUUGAUUUUUUCCCAUAGGAAUGCAUGGGUUAGGGUUAGGGUUAGGGUUGGAGCUAGGGUUAGGGUUAGGGUUAGGGUUGGAGUUAGGGUUAGUGUUGGAGCUAGGGUUAGGGUUGGGCUUGGAGCUAGGAUUUUUCUGAGUGCAAUGAACCAACUCCCGAGUCUCUAGGACGUUCCUAAAAAAAUUUGAUUUUUUCCCAUAGGAAUGCAUGGGUUAGGGUUAGGGUUAGGGUUGGAGCUAGGGUUAGGGUUAGGGUUGGAGUUAGGGUUAGUGUUGGAGCUAGGGUUAGGGUUGGGCUUGGAGCUAGGAUUUUUCUGAGUGCAAUGAACCAACUCCCGAGUCUCUAGGACAUUCCUAAAAAAAUUUGAUUUUUUCCCAUAGGAAUGCAUGGGUUAGGGUUAGGGUUAGGGUUGGAGCUAGGGUUAGGGUUAGGGUUUGGGUUGGAGUUAGGGUUAGUGUUGGAGCUAGGGUUAGGGUUGGGCUUGGAGCUAGGAUUUUUCUGAGUGCAAUGAACCAACUCCCGAGUCUCUAGGACGUUCCUAAAAAAAUUUGAUUUUUUCCCAUAGGAAUGCAUGGGUUAGGGUUAGGGUUAGGGUUGGAGCUAGGGUUAGGGUUAGGGUUGGAGUUAGGGUUAGUGUUGGAGCUAGGGUUAGGGUUGGGCUUGGAGCUAGGAUUUUUCUGAGUGCAAUGAACCAACUCCAGAGUCUCUAGGACGUUCCUAAAAAAAUUUGAUUUUUUCCCAUAGGAAUGCAUGGGUUAGGGUUAGGGUUAGGGUUGGAGCUAGGGUUAGGGUUAGGGUUAGGGUUGGAGUUAGGGUUAGUGUUGGAGCUAGGGUUAGGGUUGGGCUUGGAGCUAGGAUUUUUCUGAGUGCAAUGAACCAACUCCCGAGUCUCUAGGACGUUCCUAAAAAAAUUUGAUUUUUUCCCAUAGGAAUGCAUGGGUUAGGGUUAGGGUUAGGGUUGGAGCUAGGGUUAGGGUUAGGGUUGGAGUUAGGGUUAGUGUUGGAGCUAGGGUUAGGGUAGGGCUUGGAGCUAGGAUUUUUCUGAGUGCAAUGAACCAACUCCCGAGUCUCUAGGACGUUCCUAAAAAAAUUUGAUUUUUUCCCAUAGGAAUGCAUGGGUUAGGGUUAGGGUUAGGGUUGGAGCUAGGGUUAGGGUUGGAGUUAGGGUUAGUGUUGGAGCUAGGGUUAGGCUUGGAGCUAGGAUUUUUCUGAGUGCAAUGAACCAACUCCCGAGUCUCUAGGACGUUCCUAAAAAAAAUUUGAUUUUAUCACAUAGGAAUGCAUGGGUUAGGGUUAGGGUUAGGGUUGGAGCUAGGGUUAGGGUUAGGGUUGGAGUUAGGGUUAGUGUUGGAGCUAGGGUUAGGGUUGGGCUUGGAGCUAGGAUUUUUCUGAGUGCAAUGAACCAACUCCCGAGUCUCUAGGACGUUCCUAAAAAAAUUUGAUUUUUUCCCAUAGGAAUGCAUGGGUUAGGGUUAGGGUUAGGGUUGGAGCUAGGGUUAGGGUUAGGGUUGGAGUUAGGGUUAGUGUUGGAGCUAGGGUUAGGGUUGGGCUUGGAGCUAGGAUUUUUCUGAGUGCAAUGAACCAACUCCCGAGUCUCUAGGACGUUCCUAAAAAAAAUUGAUUUUUUUCCCAUAGGAAUGCAUGGGUUAGGGUUAGGGUUAGGGUUGGAGCUAGGGUUAGGGUUAGGGUUAAGGUUGGAGCUAGGGUUAGGGUUAGGGUUAGGGUUGGAGCUAGGGUUAGGGUUAGGGUUAGGGUUGGAGCUAGGGUUAGGGUUAGGGUUAGAGCUAGGGUUAGGGUUAGGGUUGGGGCUAGGGUUAGUUAGGGUUAGGGUUAAAAAGAGGAAUUAGUUUUCUUACAACAAUGUUCCAUUGAUGGUUCGAUUGACCUGGGAACACUGAAUCUGUGAAUAUCGUUCCAACUGUGCUAAAGUACCUCACACUGUACAUGCAUACCUCAUGGUGAGCUUCGGUUAUGUUAACAUUCAUAAACAAAUUAAAUUGUAUUUUAAAUGUCUAAUAUUGGCAUUGAGUUUUGCUUACUUGUAACAGUGGCCGUACAUCACUCCUGCAGACCAUGACUGUAGAAACAGCUGCACAUAUGACCACUUGAUAUUGAAAUGAUUGUGUUCUGCCCUAUGAUUAGGGGAAAAAGGCAACAUUUCAGUCUGAACAACAUUCAACCAUCAUUCCUUAUGAUAUCUUUGAAUAUAUCUCAAAGUAUGUGACCCCACUUUGACAUAGCCCCCAUGAUUCACCAUAGUAAUCCAUAUUAUACCUUGUGACAGCCCACAUGGACCUGCCUAUAUCCUUUGUUCCUUUAAUAACUUAAGUGAUGGCUUGCAUGAAGCUAUCACAAUGAAAAUGAAUGAAAAUGAAUAACACAGUUCAGACAGUUUAUUCACAGAUGAAAAAAAUAAAUAAAAUAAAUCACAUCUUCAUAUUGUAAGCAUAUUGCCAGUUAUUGAAUUUAGUCAUGCCUCUGGUCUGCUUCUCUAAGAAUUAAUCAGGGUUAAGACUUUUCUAGAGUAAAAGUUAUUACAUGAAAAACUCGUGCUGAGAUAUCUCAUGCAAAUGUGCUGUAGGUCAGGUUACAGUUGAUCAUCCUAAUAAGCUGACUUUUAACUAGUUACAAUUACAUUUUGAACUUUCAUAAAGUAAUGGCUCUAGCUACCAUGACAUCACCCUGGUUACUGCCUUUUGAACCCUGUAGUUUGGCAUUCAUCCACAACCACGUUGGUUUUAUGGAGGUCAUUACAUUGAACAAGAGGAUGAGAUGGGGAAGACUGAGGGUCUGAGCUAUAUUGAGUAUCAAAGCUGAAAACUAAAACUUAUGGCUGUCAGUGCUGGAGGUAACAUCUAUAGCGUGUUCAUAUUACUUUUUGCUGAAACAUUUGACCUAAUGCGUUAGUUCUCAUCGGGUGUUACUCAAGCAAGAAAAAUCCUUUUAGCGUUUGCGUUGCUUCUGUUUCUUUCAUACCUUAAGACAGGUAGCUACAGUUGUAUCUGUCCACAUGCACACCUAGCUGAUUCAACAACAUCAUUUAGAGGUUUUCUGGGCAAAAGGAACAGCAUUAGAGUCAGAGUGUUUACAUAUUCAGGUAAAUGAAUCUAUGGUUAUAGCCAUUAGUAGUUUCAACUGGACGACUGCCCUGUCCCUGUUUACAAGCACCAGACAAGAAUUGGAUCAUUGACAUAACUAUGGUCAUGGUGGUCAAAGAUGGUCAGUGGUAUGGCUUUAAAACAACGACAACUAGGUUUUGUAUUGGGUCAGUGCCCGGCUUGUACAGUGCAGCAAUACGACCUUGGCUUUUGGUAACCAAAAAGUACUCUUACUAACCCACUACUUUUGUUUCUUUGUAACACAUCAACAUAGUAAAUUACUUUUUAAUGGCAGUAAUCUUGUAAAACUAUUUCUAACCUUUAAAGCUUAAAUUCCCAACACUGGUGGCAGACUGUCAUGAAGCACAUUUUCGGAAUUUUCAACACCCCUUCAUUGACUGAGCAUACAAAUUACUGGGUAAUUUAAGGAAGAUUGUUUGCACUCGUUUUCACCUUUCAUAAUGUCAGUCUGAAGCACCUACCGAGUAGCUUUGCAUGAGUUUCUGCUACAAAAAAAAAAAAGAGAAAAGAA